CACUCGCCUGGGUCUCCGGUUGGCGGCUCGGACGGAGUUCAUUUGCCGGGCUGAGGUGGCGGCGUUGGCGGAGGGACACACACACGCACACGCACAGCGAGCUUCGGGGCAGGAGAAAGGGGCGGCGGCUGAAGAGACAGAUCCCGGUCCCGCCGACUCGCGAGCGGCGUCUCCGGCAGCGGGGGGAGUGGGCGGGCGGGGAUUCUGGGAGAGGAGGUGCUCGGAGGAAAGGGCGGGGGUUGCUGAUGUAAUGGGGAGAAGUGAUUAAUCCUUCGGUUCGCCGUUUCAGCUUCCCCCCUACCCCAACCUUCACCCGAUUUUUUUGAGCUGAAAAAAAAGUGGAACGAGGGAGCCAAUCUUUGGUGGGUUCAAAAUCUGAGCUGUAGGGAGCGCUAGAGAUUUCGUGCCCUUUAGCCAAGCUGAGGGUAUUUGCAAACCCUGAAGAUUUCCGUCUCCGAGCUUUGGGCUUGGUCCCACAAACUGCAAGGAAAAGAAAAACCCUCAACAGGAAUUACCUUUAUACCUGAUGCCCCCAACAUAAUCUCUCUCCAAGGGAAACGUGUUUUUAUUGCCUUGCGGCUGAAAAUGUAUUCUCGAUUCUCCCCCUUCUCUCUUUUGUUGUGCAUUUUUUGGAUGUGGUAAAACUGGCAGUUUAUCUGAUUAUCUGGUUUUCAGAACUUUGGGCGAUGUCUCUGAGUGUCAUCAGUUGCUCUCUAGGUUUGACAUAGAUAAUUAAGCAACUACAAAGCGUGAUAAAGCUUUUGAGAGGGAGGAAAAUGUAUUUUGGAAGGAGGGAGAGACGCAAAGAGGCGAGCCUGUGUGUUGAGUCCCAGACUUGGUGUGUGACUACAGGCAAAGUACUUCACCUUUCUAGAUGUCAGCCCCGCCCCCCUCACCUCCCAAGUUUAAAUAAGAACUUAUUUUAGACUACAUGAUCCUGUUUUCAAUUUUUAAGAGUUCUGUG
rnacentral:lncRNA from 10 species